GCCCUGCCCAGAGCACUCUAAAGGAAGGCAGCAGACUGUAUUUAUCAACCCAAGUUAUAUUUUAUUUUCAUACAUAAUGUACCCAACAGUAUCAAUAAAUAGAGGUAACAAACAAAAUAAAUUCAAAUCCUUAUAAAGGAAACUCAGCCGGACUGCCAAACAUUGUGUCCACAUUCCUGCCAAGCAAGGUCUUCAAAGCCACGUCUCCCAACAGAUGUUUGAUCUGCGCAUCCACAGCUCCACUGCUUCCCACAAGAGGAAAGGUGACGGCAUACAGUCACUUCAUCAAGCUACAAACAACUGCAGCACAAGAGGUAGUCACCAUUAAUAAGAGUUAAAAUA